rnacentral:rRNA from 1 species
AGUUACCGCUCUAUAACCCUUUGUGAACAUACCUAUCACUGUUGCUUCGGCGGGUAGGGUCUCCGCGACCCUCCCGGCCUCCCGCCUCCGGGCGGGUCGGCGCCCGCCGGAGGAUAACCAAACUCUGAUUUAACGACGUUUCUUCUGAGUGGUACAAGCAAAUAAUCAAAACUUUUAACAACGGAUCUCUUGGUUCUGGCAUCGAUGAAGAACGCAGCGAAAUGCGAUAAGUAAUGUGAAUUGCAGAAUUCAGUGAAUCAUCGAAUCUUUGAACGCACAUUGCGCCCGCCAGCAUUCUGGCGGGCAUGCCUGUUCGAGCGUCAUUUCAACCCUCAAGCUCUGCUUGGUGUUGGGGCCCUACAGCUGAUGUAGGCCCUCAAAGGUAGUGGCGGACCCUCCCGGAGCCUCCUUUGCGUAGUAACUUUACGUCUCGCACUGGGAUCCGGAGGGACUCUUGCCGUAAAACCCCCCAAUUUUCCAAAGGUUGACCUCGGAUCAGGUAGGAAUACCCGCUGAACUUAA